rnacentral:misc_RNA from 1 species
AGAGAGUUGAAAUAGGGGAAAAAAAAUGCCUAGUUGACCCUGGUAAGGCUAUAAAAUACAGUAGAAAACAAAAAAUUCCAACAUGGAUGCUGAGUCAAUAUUGGUAAUUAUUUAGCCUGAAUUAGAUCCCAAUGAUCUUAGUUUUCAGGAGCGAAGUUCAAUACUUUUACAGAAGUGAAGUUCAAUUAUUUAUAAGUGACAAGUUGAAGUUUAGUGAAAAUUAUGUGGAAUGACAAGUCCAACAAUGGCGAGUGAAGUUUCCCUAAAACUAAAUACCACUGUUAUGCUGUCUCAUAGUGGAGUUUUGGCGCUCUGUUACUGUUGCCCUUGUUAUUUAAAGGGAGUUGUUGAAUUGCAUUGGUCAUUGCGGUUGUGGCUCUGGUGUAUGUGUAACCAUUGUUGUAUAAUGGCACACAAAAAGAAAAACUGCAAUUCUUAAUCAAUUUUUGUUUCUUCUCCAAUAUUCUCUAAUAGGCAGCAGUCAGCUGUGGUUGCCCAGAGCUAAAACUAGCCUAAGAGACUAAAUUUAAUCUCCUUAGAGUUUUCUUUACAAAAUUGAAGAAAGAUUUACUACUCUUUCAGCCUUUAUCUGUUUAUUGUUGAAAAAUUGCAAAUUGUUAUAAUUUAUGACUCUUUUUGAUAGUUGCAUGACAAUGGUAGACUUUAUAUUAUCUCUUCCAGUUUGGUUAGUAGGUAAUCAAUAUAAAACAUGAGAGUGCAUUUUAAGUUUUGCAUUUAUGCUCAUUUCUAAGUUUAUUUUUUAAAUUUAGUGUCAAUUCUGUAAAUCUGUGUCUAAUCUAAUUCGCUUUUCCUUAAGGUUUCAUUGAAUGGUGUUUAGAUUUGUGAAUGUGGAUUAUAACUUAUUUGAGUAGGAAUUUGAAAUACGUACAGAAGGGUGUAAUUUUGAAUGUACUUGGUAAAAAAUUUGGUUUAAGCAUUUUAUAUUUUUAAUCUUUUAGAAGCCCAAUAUUUUAAGUUACACAAUUGGAACUAAAGACUUAGAUAAAUCCUUGGAUUCCAAAUACCUAUCCAAACAUACCCUAAGAAAAAUUACAAUGUGACAGCCAUGACUAUCAUGUGACACCUGUAGUGACCCUUGAUCACUGCAACUGGAAUUUAAAUCUAUGAAAGAACAAAUAUGGAGGAUGGUAUAAGCACAUGUUUUGCCAGUUUUGCUUUUUUGACUUUUAGCAAAAUGGUUACCAAUAUUUUCUUUUGUUUGCUUUGAAUUCAUAUUAUUUCUAAUCUCUUAUAUUUCACCUGGCCUCUGUUCUUGAUUGAUUUUCCAGCUCCAAAAGUUUCGUGAUGAA